GUGGGGAAUUUUGGACAAUGGGCGAAAGCCUGAUCCAGCCAUGCCGCGUGCAGGAUGAAGGCCUUCGGGUUGUAAACUGCUUUUGUACGGAACGAAAAGACUCCUUCUAAUAAAGGGGGUCCAUGACGGUACCGUAAGAAUAAGCACCGGCUAACUACGUGCCAGCAGCCGCGGUAAUACGUAGGGUGCAAGCGUUAAUCGGAAUUACUGGGCGUAAAGCGUGCGCAGGCGGUUAUAUAAGACAGAUGUGAAAUCCCCGGGCGCAACCUGGGAACUGCAUUGGUGACUGUAUAGCUAGGGUACGGUAGAGGGGGAUGGAAUUCCGCGUGUAGCAGUGAAAUGCGUAGAUAUGCGGAGGAACACCGAUGGCGAAGGCAAUCCCCUGGACCUGUACUGACGCGCAUGCACGAAAGCGUGGGGAGCAAACAGGAUUAGAAACCCGAGUAGUCC
rnacentral:rRNA from 1 species